rnacentral:rRNA from 1 species
CAAUAGCGUAUAUUAAAGUUGUUGCAGUUAAAAAGCUCGUAGUUGGAUUUCGGGGUGGCCUGCCUGGUCCACCGCAAGGUGAGUACUGGUCAGCCGCCCUUCCUCUCGAAAGCCCCGACUGCUCUUCAUUGCAGUGGUCGGGUAGUUCGGGACGUUUACUUUGAAAAAAUUAGAGUGUUCAAGGCAGGCUAUCGCCUGAAUACAUUAGCAUGGAAUAAUGGAAGAGGACCUCGGUCCUAUUUUGUUGGUUUCUAGGGCCGAAGUAAUGAUUAAGAGGGACAGUUGGGGGCAUUCGUAUUUAAUUGUCAGAGGUGAAAUUCUUGGAUUUAUGAAAGACGAACUAGUGCGAAAGCAUUUGCCAAGGAUGUUUUCAUUAA